rnacentral:rRNA from 1 species
AUAUGCUUACCCCGAUGCUUAAGCCAUGCAAGCCUAAGACUUGGAAUGCUGUAUAAGCACGGACAAAUCUGCGACAGGCUCCGUAUAUCUGUUAUAACCUUCGGUUCGAUGUAAAACUUGUGGAUAACCCAGGUAAUUCUCGGGCUAAUACUCACUUUUCGGGACCAUCGAGUGCCAGCUUGCUGGCGCUAGUGGUCCUGGCUUCCAAGUUUGACCAACACCUUUCCUCGGAAAGGCAAGCGGGAGAGCCUGGAAGUGAACCGUACCGUCGUUAUCGGCGGUGUGGCCCCUGGCUACCAGACCUAUCAACUUGAGCACAAGGGCUCGCCCUGUGCUGGUAAUAACGGGUACAGAGGAUCAGGGUUCGAUCCUGGAGAGGUAGCCUUAGAAAUCGCUACCACUUCUAAGGAAGGCAGCAGGCGCGCAACGUUCCCAAUAAGGACUUCUUGAGGACGUGAAGGGGAAUAGCAAUGCGGCCCCCUAAAAAGGGCAGCAAUUGAAAUGGGGGCGUCUUAGAUACCCCACCGAGUAACAAUUGGAGGACAAGUCUGGUGCCAGCACCCGCGAAAACCUAGCUGGGAAUCCGUGGGAACAGUGUGUGAAAACCACAUGCUAGUCCAAGGGAACAGGGUGGGGGGCCCCCCUAUGGGGCACAGGGCCCCCCCCCUCACUACCUUGCCGAUCGAAUUGACGCGGCGGGGGGGGUAAAUUUCCCCCUGGGCAACACCAUCAAAUUGCGGGAAGUCCCUAAAGCCCCCACCUACCAAGCGCUCCCGGGAAACUGGGGCGUGGCGCAGGCAAUGACUCGCGGUAUGGUAACAACGGUGGGGGAUAACCUGGGUGGGGUGACAAAGCAGGCGAGUAACAGGGAGGUGUGGCCAAAAAUGCCUGCCCUCCCUGCCCUCCCUGCAGCAUUUGCCAUGCCCAGGUGCCUUGGCAAGGCAGCAAACAUGGGUAAUCCGCAGCCAAGUUCUACCUGUGGGCCACUGUGGGGGCAUGUGAGCCUGCCACAAGGGCCUUUCAGCCAUGAAUGCAGUUCAAAGACUAAAUGGUGGUGCAGGGGCCACCCACCCGUGGGCAGCACGGUGCUCGUGUGUGUCCUGGCUUGCCUGUGGGCAAGCCUGGUGGGUUCCUCGUAAGAUAUAGUCCGCCCACCGGGAAACCGGGCCUGCAGGAGGAAGGGAUGCCCUCAAGGGCCCCCGGAGAGCCUCAGGGGGAGCGACCGCCGCCUCGUUUAAGCACAGGCAGGCACCCGCUCCUGGAGUUUGUCGUUUUGGGGGCAUUUCGACCCAAAAAAACGGUAAACAUCGCGGUAAUUCCAGCUCCAAUAGCUUCUUGUUAAGUUGCUGCAGUUAAAACGCUCGUAGUUAAAGCCGGUGGUGCGAUUUGGGGUUCUUAGUAGGCCCGGAGGUUUCACGGGCCUUCUCUGGGGUCGGUUGUGCGGUGCGAGUUCCCAGUGAACCAGGGCUGCCUUCCCCUCCGGUACGGCUCCGCCUCCAGGUCAAACGGGCCUUGACGCCCAUCGAAUCGCCUUGCGUUUGGGCAGUGGGUCUUCAGUGGCCUGCUGUCUGGCCUUGGCACCAUACUUUGAAUAAAUUUGAGCGCUCAACGCAGGCCUUAUGGCCCUGAAAACCCUAGCAAAGAAUAUCGUAACAGGAAUUUCCCUGGCUCGGUUGGUACUUGGGGGGAUUAAUGAUUGAUAGAGGGGAUCGGGGUUGGUCAAAUGACAGGGGAAGGGGUGAAAUCUAUUGAUCCCUGCCAGUUGAACUAAAGCGAAGGCAGCUUGCCAGUACCCUCUCUUUGAUCAAGAACGAAAGUCUGGGGAUCGAAGAUGAUCAGAUACCAUCGUAGUCCAGACCCUAAAUGCUGCCGAUCAUGGAUGGGCUAGCGUCCAUCCCGACCCAUCCCGGACAUUGUGGGAAACCAGAAUGUUUGGGCUCUGGGGGGAGUAUGAUCGCAAGA